ACCGCAUACGACCCUAUGGGUGAAACGCGGGGGAUCGCAAGACUUGCGCUAUUGGAGCGGCCGAUGUCAGAUUAGCUUGUUGGUGGGGUAAAAGCCCACCAAGGCGACGAUCUGUAGCUGGUCUGAGAGGACGACCAGCCACACUGGGACUGAGACGCGGCCCAGACUCCUACGGGAGGCAGCAGUGGGGAAUUUUGGACCAAAUGGGCGCAAGCCUGAUCCAGCCAUGCCGCGUGCGGGAAGAAGGCCUUCGGGUUGUAAACCGCUUUUGUCAGGGAAGAAACCGCUCUAGGCUAAUACCUUGGAGUAAAUGACCGGUACCUGACAGAAUAAGCACCGGUAACUACGUGCCAGC
rnacentral:rRNA from 1 species